rnacentral:lncRNA from 1 species
GCUUUACAUUCUUUAUUCAAAUUAGGACUUUGAGGUCAGCAUUCUUUUAGGUGUAACACGCACAGAAAAAUCAUACAGCAGAGCAGCAAACAGAAACCCCCCACCCAAAUCUUCAGCAUUGAAGACAUUCUCAACCCCCCAAAUAUAACUGUCCUUUUAAAAAUCGAGGAGAAGCAUGAGGACCGGGUCUGGACUGCAGACGCUCUCAGUUUAAAUAAACAGUCUCGAAGUCACAUUGACAGCAAUCUGUUAGUCCGUCCCAAACAUUCCGCCAGGCACAUUUCUCGAGCGAAUCCUCAGACGGAGGUUGAUGAGGUUGUUUUCUCUCACAUUAUUAGAAGGACCUAUACACAAUCCCAUGCAAUCAUGUAAAAUAUCCUGUCUGGAAGAGCAGCCCACUCAUGCAGCUGCUGCACGUCUGAUAAAGGACCCCUCGGCCCCCUGGUUCCAGCUCAGGAAGGCAGACCCUGUGCCAGCCACAGUCACAGUUUGACCCCGAGACCUGCCCCCAUCCCAGACAGGCCUGGCAGCCUCCGCAACGUCCUCUGCCGGGUCAGAGCCAUCAGAGCGGCCUCCCUGAGCUCAGGUGCUUCCAGACAGACCCCAGGUGAGCUAGGCUGCAUUUUCUUUAUUUUUUUUUUAUUUUAUUUUUUUUGCUAUUUCUUGGCCCGCUCCCGUGGCAUAUGGAGGUUCCCAGGCCCUACGAUAAUAGGCUCUGGCCCGUAGGCUGUAUGUAGAAGCCUCCCUGAGAUACCUAUAGAGCAGCAGUGAAACAGCUCCUCCUUAAAGCUGAGCAUCACGCACAGACUGACUGUACUAGCCACGUGCUGGAACCUAUGAAAACAAAAGAAAGAUGAAUUACCAACAGGUGACCAAGGUGUAAAGAAGUCAGAUCCUUCCAGAGGCUCAUUGGCCCCUGCCACCCAUGGCCCCAGCCAUCCAUAGCCCCCUUAUCUUGGCAUCCGCAGACAUCGGCAAUGAAUAAAGGCCAACCAGACUGGUUCCCACAGUCCUAGCCUGUGCUGGGUGCCCAUGGGAUUCAGAGCGGGAUUUUCUUGCUGGGCAUGCUUCAUCAGUCAAGGCCCCACUCCCACCAGUGGCUCCAAGAGGGACAGAAAACCACCUCUCCAUCCCCUCAUCUCGCGGCUUGGAGUCUAGCCAUCCGGAGUCCAGCUUCUCCGACUGCUAAUGGCCCAGAGUCUAGGAGCUACGAUGUGUUUUGCCCACACGAGGGGGCUGGGGGCCAGGACCCGCUGGAGCGGCUCACAGCCAAAGCUUGCUGAUUACUCUGGCAUUUCAAUUCACCAAGCAUCUUAUUUUGCCGGGGAAAGAACGACUUCUACAAAACAGUGUAAAGAACAUUCCAGUCCAUUAUGGGAAGUCUGGGCCUUUCCACAUCAGAGAGGAGGGAUGGAAGAAAGGAAAUUUGAAAAUACUGUUAUUUGACUGUUUUAAAGUUCAGUAGCAGCAUCCACUGAGGAAGACUGCCUGCCUGCCAGGGCCUCCCCAACUGCCCGAAGCUGAAAUAUAAAGUAAGAGACGUGCACGUGGCAUUUACUUUGCAAAGGACAUUUGUAGGCAAGCCCAUGAGUCUGGGCGAACAUUUCUCAGAUCCUGGUUAAAAGAAAAGAACAGUCUGCUAAGGCCCCACCUGGAUUUCUCGAGAAACAGGGCCCGCAGUCCACGCCUUCCCGGGGCGCGAUGCAGCGGCUGGGUCUGACCUCUCCCUGAGACCCCAGGGGUCUCCCACAAGGUACAGGGGCUGAAACACGCAGUCCACGGUUGAAAACAAAUCUCAAGGGUUUGCAGCCUCGCGCAGAAAUCCGAGGCCUUCGCGGAGGCAGCCACUGGACACCCGGCGGUUGUCUUCCUUUUCCGAUGCGGGAGGGAACUCCAGGGGCCUGAGCGACGGGAAAGUGGCCGAGGCUCCGUGCUUGCUGCCGGGAUCUGUCUGGGUGCGAGCUUGCGGUGAGCGGCUCCCUCUAUCCCGGGGCUCAGAGCGUCGCAGCCGCAGCCGCCUGGUGCUGUCCCUGCAAGCGCCGCGGGGCCGAGCGCCGCGGGCUCAGAGCGCAUCAGCGGGGCGCACGUAGCGCAGCGUGUAGUUGGCCCCCGCAUUGUUGUCCCAGUACUCGCCCUGGGCGCAGCGGUAGCACACGGCGAAGUGGACGGCGACGCCCGGCGCGUCCGCGUCCUCCCCCUCCUUGGGCAGCAGGCCCGGGGGCAGGCACAGCGCGAAGUGGAAGCGUUCGGCGCCGGGCUCGUCCUCGGCGUCCCCGGGCCCCCCCGACGGCGCCAACGGCGGAGGCUCCCCCGGCUCCGGCCUCAGCUCGGCCGGCACGUCCAGGAAGGAGCGCCACUCGGUGAAGGUGUAGCGCACAGCCACGGCUCGCGGCCCAGGGCAGCCCAGCACCCGGCCGGAGCCGGUCACCUCGACGCCCCCGGGCUCCGAGCAGUGCACACGCUCUAGGCACACGCGCUGCCGCCGCAGGCGCUCGGCCACGGCGCUCGGUUCGGGAAGCUCGAAGAGAGGCUGCAGCCGGGGAGGCGGCGCCGGCAGGGGCGCGGCCGCCGCCGCCGCGGCCAGGAGGCUCGGAAGUUGCUCCAGGUCCUCUGCGCGCGCUGGGAAACUGCGGAAGCGGGAGAGCACGGCGGGUGGCACCUGCGGCUCCUCGGUCUCGCUGAAGUGCUUCACGCUGGCCAGGCUCAGCCCCAGCGCGUCCGCGAACUGCACCCGUUUCUUGCACUUGGCGCAGCAGCUGCCCGGGCUGCGCAGCGCACCCUCGGCCCUCUCGCUGCCCUCUGAGCCCGUCCCCGGGGCCGGCGGCGGCUGCUGCUGCAGGAACUUGGUCGCCUGCAGGAUCGGGUCAGCGGGCAGAGAGAAGGAGCGCGCGCGGCGGCGGCGACGGCUCUCCAGCAGCUCCUCCUGUUCCCGGAGGGCAGCCUCUUCCUGAAGGAACAGGGGCUCGGCGUCGGGGUUCGGGACCUUCGACGUGCCGCCGCCGUCCCCGCCACCGUCCGUGCUGAGGACCCCCGGGGCAGGCGGCUCCCCGGCUGGCGGGGUGUCUUCAAAAGGCACAGGUCCCAGAGCCUCCAAACUUAGCAGCUCCAUCCCCCGGGGCUCCAUGACGCCGAAUAGCCCCGGGACUUGUCCUCCGGAGACCUAACGCCUGGGGUGGUUGAAAGAGCGCGCAACGCCCGCCCCGGGCCUGGGAGGAGAGGCAGUUCCACUCCG